GUUUCAGAAUUUGAUUUUAAGGACCUUCUCAAAUAUUGGGACUCUGAAAAAUUCAAGGAAAUGAGUGAAAGAAAUACCAAGAAUCAAAAAAAAUGGAUGAAUCCACAUACUGCUGGUAAAACAAGUUUUGCUGUGAUACGCAAUAAUUUGGAAAAAGAGAAGGAAAGCCCC